CACAAAAUCAAUCCCUCCCAAGGGUCACUGUUCAGAUAUUGGGGAAACCUGUCACUCUGCUUGCAAAACUUGAAUUUGUACCAGAUCAUUUCCUCCACAGUGUCGUUGUACUGAUGUCACUAACUUUUGCUAUAAACCAUGUACCUAAGCUCACUAGGAAUGAGCAUGAAGACUGUGAUGUUGAACAAAGUUACUUAAGCUUUGUUUCCAUGUAAUAUAAUGAAUAAAUUGAUGAUGGAAUAAAAACUAUGACUCUGCAGUUAGUUUGUCUUCCUCAAACUCACUGCAAGUCAGGGUGUUUCUUUUAGUCCUCUUGUCUUGUGUUAGUUGAAUUAUUUUCAUUUUUAAAUGAUUUUGUUUAAUUUGUGGACUACAAAAUAAGACUUUUUUAAAAGGCUUGAAUAUGUUUUUGAUUUCUGAGAUUUGUAAACGUAAUCAAAUUUGAUCUCAAUUUUUUUUCGUUGAAAUGUAAUAUUUGAUUUUUUUUAAUCAAAGUAAGUCAUUUUACUCAAUUUUAACCGAUUAACGGUCCAGUGGCAAGCCUUGUCAGCAGAUGAUGUUCACAUGAAUUUUUUCGCAUCAAUUUUAAUCAUUAAAAAAAAUUUAAAUCAUAUUUUCAGCCCCUCCUUCCUACCACCACACUACUCUACCUUCUUCCCUGAUCUCCUUCUUUCUCUGCCCAUAAUUUUUCUAGACCACAACCUUCAACUCAGAACUUUUUUCCCACACUUCUCUACCUCCUUCAUUCUGUUCUUGUUCCUCUUCCUCCUCAGUCCAUAACCAACAAAUUAAAAAAAGUUUUUUUUACAGCAAUUUAUAUAAUUACCGUAAACAUAUAUCUGGAUGUAAUUCUCACCGCAAGUUAAAAUUUGCUGAUUAUAUUCUUAAAAAAAGAAAAUUAGGGAAGAAGAUGAUGAAGAUCAAAGAGAAGAAAAUGAAGCAUGCAAGUGCCCAAAAGCUCAAAUGAACAAGAAUUUUAUCAUUGGAUGAGAAUUGAAGAAGAAAGAAGAUGGUGGUGGAAGAAUAGAGACUAAAAAUAUGAUUUAAAAAUUUUACAGGGACUAAAAUUGAUACAAAAUAACCUAUGUUGACACCAUUUGCCGACUAGGCUCGCAACUGGACCGUCAUCUGGUUAAAAUUGAGCAAAUUAACUCAAUUUGAUUAAAAAAUUAUUCCAAAAAUUGCAUUUCAGAGAAUUUUUUUUCAAAGGCCCAAUUUAAUUCCCUUUAUAAUCUCAGUAACAUAUUUAAGUCUUUUUAAAAUCAUCCAUAAUAUGUGUUUAUAAAAUGAUACAUAACACUUGAAUAAGAGCCAGCCUACGCUAUGACAAUAACACCGGUUUUAUUGAAACAACAUUACACAAUAACAUCAAAGCGAAUGUAAUGAAAAACAAACCAAUAAAUUUUUCUGUCCUAUUAAGGAUUUUCUUGUAGAGUACUUUUUUUUUGACAGUCUCUUGUAGAGUACUCAAAACAAAUGAAAAGCAGAAUUAUAGUCGCUAAAUUAUAGACAUACAAUUCCGAAUCUUAUUAUAUAGACAUAUACUUUUUUCCACUUGAGCAGAUUAAUCAUUCAAAUAGAAAGCUUGUUGAAGCUAAUUUUCCUUAUGUUUAAAACGUAAGUGUCUAGGGACAUUUCCAAUGCUCUUGUUGGUGGUGUUACUUAGCAACAGGAUAAAAAUAUUUUCUCUAAAAAUGGUGAAUCCAAAAUAAAAACAGCAAUGUAAUAAUUUUUUCGCUAAAUUAGCGACGUAAUAAAAAUUAAACAAUACUUGGUUAGCGACAGAUUGUGAUAUGUUAGCGACAUAUUGCAUCGUCGCAAAUAGCGAUAAAAUAAUAGUUAAUAUGACAAACAAUUUAGCAAAUGAGUUAUGGUAUAUAUUAGCAACGGUAUUUCCGUUGCUGAUAGCGACAGACUCAAAUUCAUCUCUAAUGAUUUAGUUACGCCACAUUUUGCCAUAAAUUGUAAUUUGUCGUUAAUUCUGUCGCUAAAAGAUUAGCAAGGGAAUUUUUUCCCAAUUGGAUUUUUUUAGUAGUGUUAAUAAGGGAUAUAAAUGGUAUAUUGGGUAAUUAGGUGAUAAAAGUAAGAACAUUUAAUACUAUGAGGAAAAAAUGAUGCACCAACCGUGUGGAUGUUAAAAUUAAACUUUAAACUGGAACAAAUGGAUAAGAGUAGAGAUGAGUGUAACUUUGGUAAAGCAAUUUACUCUAUAACUUAAGUAUUGAAAUCAUAUUUUUAGCUUAUAAACUCUAAAUAAAUAAUGUCUAAAAUAUAUUCAUAGUUUUGUGUUUCACAUAUGCGCACAUGCAUAUUUCAUUCCAAAUAUUUAAACUCCAGUUGAAUUUUAAAACUUUGAUCUUAUCUUUCUGUAUAGGAUGGAUGACUAGUUCCAUUGUUGCUUUUGGGGACCCAUUUUAUAUCAUAAGGCAUUAAAUAUGAGACGCGAGGAACACAGUUUUGUCCUGUCAAUUGUUAAUUGCUAAAAUUUACUAGUAUAUUGUUUGCCAACAUAAUGUACAAAUUUUAAAUCAAGAUAAAAAUUAGCAAAACGUUAUAACGUACGCAUGGAAAUUUUGAAAUCGAUAUACAAUUACAAAUUUAAUAUCUUCCACCAAGAAGCGACAAAUAUAAAACUUAAUUUAUAUAUAUAUAUAUAUUCAAAAUAUAUAUAUAUAUAUAUAUUCAUCGGAAAAUUAAUUUAUAUGUUAUUGCAUAUAAUAUUGUAAUUUUAUAAACUUAUAUCAAAUAAAAAAAAUAACAUAAUGUUCAAAUAAGUCACCUUCACCGACAUUUUACACAAUGAGAGAUGUUGUUGACAUUCUUUCUUUGACGAAGUUAUCGGCAUUCAAUACUUUAAAGAACCAAUUUUAUCAAUGGAGUUGUUAUUGGUGUCACCCUACAUCUAAUAAUGACACUCACACUGACACUCCUAAAAAGGCAAAAAUACCAAAAUACAUACACUAUAAAAAACAUUCACCUCAAUUCCUUCCGCCUGCCCUCACCACCUGCCAUCCUCUCUCUUCUUUCCUCAUUAAUUCUACUCAUAUGUAUACACAUCUUCAUACGCAUCUCCACUAGCCACUCUCGCUCUUCUCCGUCGCUCUCCGUUGAACCCAUCAGAAUCUUUAGAAACUCUGUCGUUCUUCGUCGCCUAGCUCGCUUCGUUGAUGUUGUUGUUCCACUUGCAGAUAAACUCGCUGUUGUUUACCAUCAUUUCUAUCUGCAAGUAAAUACACUUUAAAGUGCGUUUAGCCAGUCUUUAAAGUGUAUUAACAUACACACUUUCAAAAUGCAAGUGAAAAAUUUUUAAAUGUCUUUUUCCAAUUUUACGAAUUUAAGAGUGAAUGAAGAACGACACUAAUAACAACCUUUGAAUAAUCAUUCCCACCAAACACGCCCCAAAUUAAACUUGUUGCUUCAGGCUGAUAUACUCACACCUCAUUUUUUCUCUACUUUAUUUUUACCUAUUUUUAUUUCUAUCUCUUUUCUCUUAUCACAUCUUAUACUUUCUCUUUCAUACUUUUUUCUUUUCUUUCUAUUUCAACUCAUCCACCUUUUUCCACUUCAAAACCUCAUUUUUAAGGUGUGAAAGAAUAACUAUUCCUUUAUGGCUUAAAGUUAGAAAAAUAUAAGAAUACAAACGUUAAUGCCUAGGAUUCCAAAGCAUGAUUCACCACGACGGGGAACAGCAAACCGACAGCUUCUGAUAGCGUAAUUUACCGUACAAUUAAUUGAAAAUACUCCCUUCGUUCCUAAAUAACUGAUACUAAUUUGGUUCUUUUUUUUGUUCCUAUUUAACUGAUACUUUUACAAUUUCAAGAGAACAUUAAUGCUACUUUAUCAAUUGUGCCCUUCAUUUAUUGUUGGUAGGAAAAUUGAAAAGUUAAAAUUAAUAAGAGAGAUAGAGGAUAUAAUGGGAAGUUAAAUAGUAAUUUUAGUAAAACAAUAAUAUUAAUUGCUACUUCUUAAUAUUUGUGCCAUAACCUUAAAGUAUCAGUUAUAUAGGAACGGAGGGAGUAAUUCAUACACCACCCUACAAGGCAAAAAAACAAAACGACACAUCAACUUAAAAUAAAAUAAGACCUUAUUGGGGGCAACUUCAACUAUAAAUGGACCUGUAGUUGCUCCUCAGAUCUUCACACAUCCAAAGAAAUAGUGAGAUUGAGGUGAUGGAGUUCAACAAGGUGAAUGUGGUUUUGCUGCUUUCCCUCUUGGCUUUCACUGCAUCUGUUGUCGUUGAUGCACGUAGUUUCGACCCAAAUUCCUUCAUCACUCAAGUGCUUCCAAAAGGUACUGAAGCCAAUUACUAUGUCAAAUCCACAACUAGUGCGUGCUGUAACAAUUGCCCCUGCACAAAAUCAAUCCCUCCCCAGUGUCGCUGUUCAGAUAUUGGAGAAACCUGCCACUCUGCUUGCAAAACUUGCCUGUGUACCAGAUCAUUUCCUCCACAGUGUCGUUGUACUGAUGUCACUAACUUUUGCUAUAAACCAUGUACCUAAGCUCACUAAGAAUGAGCAUGAAGACUGUGAUGUUGAACAAAGUUACUUAUAAAGCUUUGUUUUCAUGUAAUGGAAUGGAAUGAAUAAAUUAAUGGAAUAAAAACUAUGACCCUGCAGUUUAUAGUUUGUCUUCCUCAAACUCACUGCAAGUCAGGGUGUUUCUUUUAGUUCCCUUGUCUUGUGUUAGUUGAGUAAUUUUCAUUUUGAAAUGAUUUAGUUUAAUUUGUGAAAUACAAAAUAAUUAAGACUUCUAUAAAACAUCAUCCAUGAUAUAAAUUGUAAUUUGUAAAAGCUCUUGACACUUUGAGAAGCAAUUUAAAGAAAAGAGGAAGAAGAGAAUUAAGCAGAAUGCACUAGGUAUUAGUGAUGAAUAUUUCCUUUUGCAGGAAUUACAGAGAUUCACACGCUUCUGGUUCUACCAAAUCCCAGAAUCACCCUUCAAUGCACCGAUUGGUCAAAGCGAAUUAGGAAAAGAAGACACUGGGAGAGAAACCGCUUUAACCUUGCGUACAAAUUGGAAGAGGAAGAGAUAGAGAGAACAAGGUAUUCUGUUGAGAAGAUUUUGCAAGAGAAUCCGGAGGUUGCAGCUUCACAAAGCCAAAACCGAGUCCAUCUUCCCCCUCUCUUUCCCGAGAAUUCAUUAAUUUUUGUCCCUCUAUGAGACCAUAUGUACAAUAAAACCAAAUUGCAAGCGUAUCCUAGCUAGGUGGUUUCCUCUUCUGGACAAACACUCUUAAUUAUGAUCUUUCCAAACUUAGAAAAGAGGUCUCUGAUAUGGAAAAAAGAGACAUCCUCCGAGAUUUCAUCAAUGAAAAGGACGAAUCACGAAGAACAGAGCGACCUUGCAUCUUCUUGGGAGCCACAUCAGCUUCGGCUUUGGCGUUGUCGCCUUCAAGAAAAAAGCUCUGGUUCAUGGGAACACUUUGUUAGAUUACCUGAGAGUGAAGCCAAAGAUCCCACUGCAGCUUGCAAGCAUUGUGGUAAGAAAUAUUUAUGUGACCCUAAUUAAGACUCAUGGUACUUCAAAUUUAAAUGCUGAUAUCAAAGUAUGCCCCAGUAUCUCAUCUAACUGUUAAAUUUGAUCCAAACCAAAUUGUUCUCAUUUUUGGGCCUAGUGGUAGUAGAGGAGGAGGUCAUGAUUUAGCUGCAACCAACCAGAGAUUUAAUUUGCAAGUUUGUAGAAGGGCGUUGUCGCGCUGUCAAUAUUCAUCAUUUUAGAUGAACAACCCUUUAGGGUGGUUGAGGGUCAGGGCUUUAUCUUCUAAAACUGUUACAACCCCAAUUUACAGUCCUUCAAGGCACACGGUGGCUAGCAGUGGCGGAGGGAGGGGGUGGCCCAUAGGGGUCAUUGCCCCACCCUGAAUGAAUGGUUUAAUUACAGCUAUACUGUGUAUUCUACAAAGAAUUAUUCUGUAUAUUACACUAUUGCUUUUACCCCUCACUAAGUUAUUCUUUGAAGCAGUGGCUAUUGUUAGGUUUACAAACAAUUACUAACAUUUUAUUUAAGACCUUUGUGAGCAUAUAACAAACUGAAAUGUAUAGUUGACUUUAGCAAUGAAAGAAGUUUACAUAUUGUAUUCGGAAAAUGUUUUUCUCACAGUAAUUCCACCUCCAAUUUAAGAGAUAUAUAAAUAGAAGAGAGAAAAGUAAGAUAUAUGAUAAGUAAUAUGUUGAUAAAAGAAGAGAAAAUGAGACCAAAGAGAAAGAGAUAUAUGAAUAUAUUAAAAUUGUGCAUAUUAUGUAUGUGAAAAUUUAUAAUUUUACUAUGUCUUUAGUCUCGGCCACCCUAAAACUAAAACUCUGGCUCCGCCACUAGUGGCUAGGGACUGUUAUCAACUUUAUUUAGUUGAAAAAUUGAGGUUAAGAGCUUUUUUAGAUCUGAUUGUAGUAGGUUUCCUUGACCACUGAUUGCUAGACAUCUAUUCAAGAUCUCAAUUACUUAACCCUCACAACCCAUUUCAUUGACAAAGAGUGGAAGUACCAAAAGAGAAUAAUUAGCUUCUCUGUUAUUGCUAACCAUAAAGAUGAAACCAUAGGAAAACAAAUUGACAAAGUCUUAAGAGAAUGAGGACUUAGGAAUGUGUCCACCAGUGGAUAAUCCAACUGUUAAUGAUUCUAUUGUGGAUUACUUGAAAAGGCGGAUAAUGAAUAUGAAUGGUUUAGUGAUGAAGGGUGAAUACUUGCACAUGAGGUGUUGUGCGCACAUUCUGAACUUGGUUGUUAAUGAUGGCCUUAAGGACUUGCAAAAGUCUAUUUCUGGUAUCUGCAAUGUUGUAAGGUAUGUGAGGUCAUCAUCCCUAAGGAAGGCUAAGUUUAAGUCAGUGUGUGGGGUUUGCUGGAGUUACAAAGUAAAAAAUCAGUGUGUCUUGAUGUCCCCACUAGGUGGAACUCAACUUUUUUGAUGUUGGAUGUUGCAGAAAAGUUUGAAACUGUGUUUGAAAAGAUGGAGUUUGAGGAUUCAGGGUAUUUGGAAUAGCUAUGAUUUUUGUUCAAAAGACAAUUUAACCCCUAACGCUUUUGAUUAUUCUGACUAUGCCCUUUUUGCACAAAUAAAGUUUAUAAUAUAGGUGUCCACUAGGGUGGGUUAAUUGUAUUUGGUCCACCAGUAGACCAUAAUACAAACUUUCGUUCUUUUAUAUAUAUAUAUAUAUAUAUUUAAUUUUUUCAUAUGAUUAAAUUAAAUUGUUUUACUUCUAAACUUUUAAUGCUUGGAACAAUUUAUUAAAACGAUAUAUUUUAAAAAGUUAAGUUUCAUAUUAAUCUUGAAUAAUGAUUAUAAUAUAAAAGAGUCGAGGAUAUUUAUGUCAUUUCAUAUAUACAUAUUUUUCUUUCCGCUUACUUUUAAACCAAACAACAUAAGAAAAUCAUCUCACUUUCCUUUCUUUUUCUUUCCUUUUACUUUUCUUUGUUUCGUUCUACUUUUUUUUUCCGAACCAAACAGAGCCUAAAUUUGUCUAUCAAAACAGUAUCUAAUUAACAUACGCAAUCAUGUUCCAGCCAUAAAUAUGCAUGACAACAUGAGAAAUUAAAAGGGAGAGACACGUUGCAAAUUUUCACAGACCUGAUAUCAGGAAAAUGGGUUGUCUAAAUGACCCAAGAUAAAAAUUGGGUUAAAUAACCCAAAGUCUAGGUGUCCCAAUAACAUUAUAACAUGUGUCUUAAUUAAUUACAACUCAUUUCAUUAUUUUUUAAAAUUUUAUAUUUUUGUGAUGUUUAUUUUAUUAAAUAUUUUAUUUGCAUAAUCAACCAAUUGAUUAUAAUAGUUACAAUAGAGCCCCAUUUUCCAGAAACAACUGAGAAUCUGGUCUUCCACGGCUUCUGGGCAAGGGGAAGAAGAAGAACCAUAACCAUUGAAGAAAACUAAUGUAAACUUUAAAAUAUAUCUUGUUCUUUCCCCUCAUUGAAGAAAUUAAACCUUCCAAAACAAAUGCUUGGUGAAACAUCAAGCCAACUAAUUUCCAAGAAGAAACCAGAGAAGAAGAAGGAACAGAGUCACCAAAAUUCAGACCCUCCAAGGAGCACACAAGCUCCCUGCAGCUCACAUGGUUGUUCAAAUCAAUAUGAAAGUGAAGGUGAAUGGGAAGGGGAAGGAGAAGAAGAAUAAGGUGACAUUGGUAGAAAAGAAGAAAAAUUAGACACCCCAAACAGAUUAGAAGUUGGUGAGCAAAGAAUCAAACUUUACGCUUGCAAUUCUUGUCGUAAUGGCUGCUGCACCAGACCUUGAGCUUAAACAUGCAGAAAUGGUCGGAGUAGUACGAGUCAUCGACGGAACCCGGCGAUGGCGAGCCUGGAGAUACUUAUGGAAAAGGCUCUCGAAACAUAUAUGCGCAGAAACCAUGGAAGAAGAAAUUAGAAUUUAGGGUUCUUCACUUUUUUUGUGGGAAAAUGGUUUCUAUUGUAAUUAUCUUAAUUAAUUGGUUCAUUGUGCAAUAGAUUAUUUAAUAAAAUAAAUGUUACAAAAAUAUAAAAUAAAAAAAUAGUUGUAAUUAAUUAAGACACAUGUUAAAUUAUUAUUGAGACAAUUAGACUUUGGGUUAUUUAACCCAAUUUUUAUCUUGGGUCAUUUAGCCAACCCCUCAGGAAAAUUGUCGUGUGGCUAAUUUUUCUUCUGUGUGGCAUUAGUGUUGAUAUUAUAUUAUUGUCAGUUAUAUUGAAGAGGGUGCCAGGGUGGUACCCAAAGUAAAGGGUUAGGUGCACAAAUUACAGCAGAGAUAGUUGCAUCUAACCGUUCCCUUGACCUUAUUUGCAUUUGCCUUAUAAUUGAUUCACAUAUUAUUUUUUCUUCUAUAUUAUUUUCAUUCGACCUCUUUCUCUUUCGGUCUUCAAUUUUUAUUUUUAAUGGACCACUUAUCAUAUUUCUCAUUUUAUUUUAUUUUCUAUUUCUCAAAAUGAGAGAGAAAGAUAGAGUUCAACAAAAAUGGAUCCAUAACGUAUUUUAAGGCGAGUUUUGCUACUUAUUAUGAAGAUUGGAUCUUUGUGAACAUCACAGCUGGAUCAAAGACAAAAACGCUUUGUUGACAAUUAUACCUCUUCACCUUUAAAGAGAAAAAUGAACCAAAGAGAGAAGUCAGAAAUAUAAUUAGUGCUGGGGUAGAAAAAAAAGAAAAAACAAUUAAGGCACGUGUAUGACGUUUCUUAAACUAAAGAGGAAAAAACAAGGAAAUUAAUUAAAAUAAAACCUUAUUUUAUUUUCCUAUGGACCAAAAAAAAUAAGACCUUAUCCGACGGCUUUACUUCAUCAACUACUUCGCCUAUAAAUGGACCUAUAGGCUAUAGCUGCUAUGGUGAAAAAGAAAAGGAGAGUGAGAAAGAUGGAGUUCAACAAGAAUGGAUCCGUGAAUAUUGCUUUGCUGCUUUUCCUCUUGGCUUUCACUGCAGCUGUUGUUGCUGAUGCACGUAGUUUCGACCCAAAUUCCUUCAUCGCUCAAGUUCUCCCAAAAGGUACUGAUGAUACCAGUUACUAUGUCAAAUCAACCGCUACUGCAUGCUGUAACAGUUGCCCCUGCACAAGAUCAAUCCCUCCCCAGUGUCGCUGUACAGAUAUUGGGGAAACCUGCCACUCUGCUUGCAACGCUUGCAACCCAUGUACCCCUGAAGGUGAAGCUCACUAAGAAUGAGUUAACGUUCCAAUUACUAUAUAUGAUGUGUGGAACAAAGUUACUUAAGCUUUGUUUUCAUGUAAUGUAAUGGAAAUGAAUAAAUAAAUGGAAUAAAACUAUGACCCUGCAGUUAGUUUGU
rnacentral:lncRNA from 1 species